rnacentral:rRNA from 1 species
UGGUAGUGUAUUGGACAACCAUGGUGUUGACGGGUAACGGAGAAUCAGGGUUCGACUCCGGAGAGGGAGCCUUAGAAACGGCUACCAUAACUAAGGUUAGCAGCAGGCGCGCAACUUAUCCACUGUUCAUUGAACGAGAUAGUGACGAGAAAUAACAAGUCCGUCCUCUAUGAGGUCGGACAUUGGAAUGGAUGGAAUCUAAACAGUUCCAUGAGUACCCACGAGAGGGCAAGUCUGGUGCCAGCAGCCGCGGUAAUUCCAGCUCUCGUAAUGUAUAGAAUUAUUGUUGCGGUUAAAAAGUUCGUAGUUGGAUUUUCGACUGUUCGGAGGUCGUCCCUAACGGGAUGUACUUUCGGCAGUGUUUGCACGCUGCUUGGGAGCGAUCCGAAGCGGGGUGCGGAUUACUUUGAACGGCUUAAGUGCUCAAGGCGAGUCUUCGGACUGAAUACCGGUGCAUGGAAUAAUGGAACAAGGUUUCGGCCGAGUUUUAUUGGUUUUGUCGGCUAAAACAAUGGUUAACAGGAACAGCUGGGGGCACUCGUAUCGCUGCGCGAGAGGUGAAAUUCGUGGACCGCAGCGAGACGCCCUAAAGCGAAGGCAUUUGCCAAGGAUGUUUUC